AUUGAACGCUGGCGGCAUGCCUAACACAUGCAAGUCGAACGGCAGCACGGUCUAGCUUGCUAGAUGGGUGGCGAGUGGCGUACGGGUGAGUAAUGCGUAGGAAUAUACCUUGAAGUGGGGGAUAACUUGGGGAAACUCAAGCUAAUACCGCAUGAGCUCUACGGAGGAAAGCUGGGGACCUGAAAGGGCCUGCCGCUCUAAGAAUAGCUUACGUCCGAUUAGCUAGUUGGAGUGGUAAAGGCACACCAAGGCGAAGAUCGGUAGCUGGUCUGAGAGGACGGACAGCCACACUGGGACUGAGACACGGCCCAGACUCCUACGGGAGGCAGCAGUGGGGAAUAUUGGACAAUGGGGGCAACCCUGAUCCAGCAAUGCCGCGUGUGUGAAGAAGGCCUGCGGGUUGUAAAGCACUUUCGUUGGGGAGGAGGGCUAUUAGGUUAAGAGCUAGAUAGUUGGACGUUACCCAAAGAAGAAGCACCGGCUAACUCCGUGCCAGCCGCCGCGGUAAAAC
rnacentral:rRNA from 1 species